rnacentral:lncRNA from 1 species
AAGAGCAAAUACCCUCACCUCUUUGAGUAAUCAGAUAAUUUACCCUUUUAAAUUCGAGGACGAAUUUUAUAUAAGGGGAGGAGAAUGUAAUAACCCCAAAAUUUUUUUUUAUAUAAAAAAAGGGAUAGAAUAGUCCUUUAAAAUUGAUAUAAGGGGUAAAAUUGGAAGGAAUCAAAAGAUAAUGGCAUAAAUGUAGAUGCGUUGAAGUGGUAAGGGUAAAAUUGGAAAGGAAUCAAAAGUUAAUGGCAUAACAGUAGAUAUGUUGAAGUGUUAGGGGCAAAAUGGAAAUUUAAUAAUAUUAAACAAAGGAUGAAUAGUGUGUGAUGUGACUUAAUUAGGGGGGUUUGGUGGCUCAGACGUGAAACAGAGAGGGAAGGGGGGAAGUCUCAGGCGGUGGAAACACAGAGAGAGGGAAAAAGAAGAAGAAGAAGAAGAAAGAGGGAGGGGAUUCGAGGUGCAAGGAAGCUCCGGUUGCGCUGCCAGCAGGAGGAAAAAGUGUAGGUCUCCUUUCCCUCUACGCAAAGACCUCGAUUUCCAAAAAGAAAAAGGUAAAUAUCCGUCCCUACCUAGUCUUUUGAUGAUAUUAGGCUAUACAAAGGGUGGAUGUAGUCUAGAGGGGUCAGAUAAGGGUUGUAGAGGUGGUUAAAAGAGGAAGAAUCGGAUUUCGACAAAUUUUUCCGGCACUACGGAAAAACUGUGUCGAAGUCCCAACUUCGGCGAAUUAUUUAGGGGGUCAAACGGCCUCCGAUGAUGAUGCAUGUUAUCUCUUUGGAAUACUCUAUGAGUGUAGAAUGUUAGGUAAAAAUUUCAUCAAAUUUGGAGUCCUGAAAGUGGAUCAAAAUCGGGAUGAAGUAACCCGCUGUCAG